rnacentral:lncRNA from 1 species
UGGUUGAUCACAUGAGGAAGAUGAAGAACAAUGCCAUUGUUUGCAACAUUGGUCACUUUGACAAUGAAAUCGAUAUGCUCGGUCUUGAGACCUAUCCUGGUGUUAAACGCAUCACCAUUAAGCCUCAAACCGAUAGGUGGGUCUUCCCUGAAACCAAAACUGGCAUCAUUGUGUUGGCUGAAGGACGUCUGAUGAACUUGGGAUGUGCCACUGGACACCCAAGUUUUGUCAUGUCCUGCUCGUUCACUAACCAGGUGAUUGCCCAGCUCGAGCUAUGGAAGGAGAAGGCAACUGGAAAAUAUGAGAAGAAGGUUUACGUAUUGCCAAAGCACCUCGACGAGAAAGUUGCUGCACUUCACCUCGGCAAGCUCGGAGCUAAGCUCACUAAGCUCACUAAAGAUCAAGCUGAUUACAUUAGUGUGCCUGUUGAAGGUCCUUACAAGCCUCCUCAUUACAGGUACUGAGGGGGACAGUUAAUGAGUUUUUAUCGAGAAAGAAAAAGCAUCCGGAUGGUUUGAUUGUUUCUUGUUUUACUGAAAUUUCAUGAUG